rnacentral:lncRNA from 1 species
UAAAAAAAUAUGGAAUCCAAAUUGCUAUUGGAGUAUAAAUUUGGAAAGAAAUAGAAAGCUUUGAAAAAAAAAAAAAAUGCAUUUAAUGUAUCGUGGAAGGCCAAAGGUAAGACUUAUUUCAGAUUUUUAGUAUAUCAAUUUUGGAAUGAGAAAAGAUGAAGUGUCAAUUAAAAAUGGAAUGAAAGAAGGUAGAAUUAUUGAAAUAAGAAAAAUAGACAUUGGAUGACUAAUAUAGAAUUGAAACGAAAAAAUUAUGGAUAGAAAUUGAAACCUUAAAAGCUAUAGUGACAAAAU